UCAGUAAUUUUAAUAUAAUACAGAAUUUAUAUAGCAAUUUAACACUAAAAAUCAGUGAUAUAUCAGUUAUAUCGGUCAAAUAUCGGUGAUAUAUCGCUUAUAUCGGUCAAUAGCACCGAUAAUAUCGGUACCGAUAUUCUGACCGAUAUUUGACACCGAUAUUUCACUAGAGGACCGAUAUAACACCCAUAUAUCACCAAUAUUAACUGCAUAGUGUAUGAAAGUGCAUUGUUAGAAAUAGAAUAUAAGUUGUGUUAUAAAAGUGAUAAUUACCAGCGAUUUGUUUUAUUUCGGGUACAGAAAGUGGUCGCAUUUCUAGUCCAUCGAAUUUCUCCAUUUCUGAAAAUAUAAUUCUAGAAAUGUUGAGAUUGAGGCCCAUGCCAAUGGCAUCACUUGCUACAAGAACGUCAAACUCACUACUUUCAUCAACAUAUACUGCUACCAUAUUGACAAAGGCAUAGUUGUUAACGGCGAAUAGCGACAAAUAGCGAUAAGGUACCUAUAUGCUACAUAGCGAAUAGCAAUAAGUAGCAGGCGCUAUUUUAUAAAUAGCGAUACACUAGAAUUUAAAAAAAAAAAAACUAAUAUGUAUAUUAUAUGAAAAUACCCUGGUAGAUACGCACUUUUACAUGUAUAUUUUACAAAAACCUAAAUACCAGCUAAUUUAUAGCUAUAUUUAAUUGCUAUUUAUGUUAAAAAAAAAAACAGAAAAAAAAAAAUUAAAGGCCGCUAUCUAUCGCUACAGACCAUAUAGCGAGCAUGGACCUACACGCCACGCAAUUCGCUAUAGUGAUCGCUAUUGACAACUAUGGACAUAGGGGACCAAGAAGCUAACAAAUCAUGAUAUUAUUAUGUGAUUUGUGAACAAAACGUAUACAAAAUAUAUACUGAUUAAGAACAUGUAGUUGCAUUCUUGAGGUGAAUGAGCAACAAGUAAUUUACUAGAGCGGGUCAGGUUGACCCUUAACACUUUUGUCCAUUUGUUAAAUAAGUAAUGUGUCGAAAACAAUUACAAAAGAAAAAUAAGAUAAGAAACCUAACUGUAUACAAUAAUAAACUAAAUGCCUAAAAAGUUUGGAGAAUUUUCGAUGCAUUUGACCCAUUCUCUUUUUCAACUAAUUUUUUUUUAUUUAAAAUUGCCUCUUCUAUUUAUUUUCUAUUAUUAGUGUUACCAAUGUGAUAACUGACAACCCAUUCAUUAUAAAAAUAUUUAAUCGUUGAUCAAAAAAAAAAAAGAAAAUAAAUAAUACACACAUUUAUACAUGGUAACAACUAAAAUAAAAGAAUCCUCAACAAGUAUAUAGAAACUAAACAAAACAAACCUAACCUAACCCGUUCAGGCUUCUAAAAAACUAUACACAGAUGAUUUGAUUUGCUUAAACAAUAAACCAAACAUAAGACAAUUAAAAUAAAAGUGUUGUAAGUAAGUUGAGACGAUCAAGUUUUGAUAUAGAAGAGAAUGUAUAGGGCAAUCAUCAAGGUGACACCCAUUCUUAAGUAACUCCAGUAAGCAUCAUGUUGAUUUUAAGUUGCAUAUUGUAUAAACAUAAACAUAUAAACCCUAAAUAGAAAUGUGCCCACAAGUAAAACACACAAGAGGCACGUAUACGAUAUUAUGAUUUGUUACCAGCUUAUCAUACAUUUAUAAUAUUCACCUUUUAGAUUAUAUCAUUCCACAAUACCAAAUGAAAUAUAAGAACCAAAUAAACAGAUUAUCAGAUUACCACCCCCUAAAAAUAAAGUAAAAAACAUUUUAAACACCAAAUUAAUCAAGUGUUACAACUAACACUUCUUCAACAAGCAUGUUUGUCCUAGAAUUUAACUGUUUGUUUCAAUUGACAUGCUAGCCAUUUAUAUGCUACAAAUUUUGACUUUUUGAGCAUAAGAGCAUUAGAAGUGAUAGUGAUUUGAUUUUAGUAUAUAUAAUUCGUGUGGGAAAAAAAAUGUUAACACAAAUUAAGACAGAUAAAUCAGUCCACUCCCAAAAAAAAAAAAAAAAACAUUUCUUUAUAUUAAUAUGGUAAGCAAAUAUCCAAUUAGUUAAUAACGAAAAAUCGCCAAACAUGUUGGAACAAAUUAGGCAGAUAAAUUAAGGUCUCAUGUGAAGAGGAAAUGUUAGAACAAAUUCGAAAACAUCACAACAUCAGAAGUAUAAUU
rnacentral:lncRNA from 1 species